rnacentral:misc_RNA from 1 species
UUAACAAUUACCAACUAAACUACAUAAUUCCUACCUAAUCACAUACUUAAUUAUUACCAAUUAAACAACAUAAUUCAUCACUACUAAACUCCAUACUUAUUACCUACUAAUUACAUAAUUCAUAUCUACUCAACUCUUUAAAUAUUACCUCCUAAAAUCCCUAUUCGAUCGCCACCUACCGAAAACCAACCCCAACUAAUCCAAAAUAUUCAAAAAAAAAA